UUUCUCCUUUUGACAUAUUUUUGUCAUUUUUUAGCAGGUUUUCUGACACAGUGGUAGUAUCCUCACCUCUGGAUAAGAAGCUCUGGAUCUCAACCCCAUUCCAGGAAUUGUUGACCACGGAAGGUGUAAAUGUAAUAUGGGGAUGAGUCAGUUAACAACCCAUGGAACAGACAAUCCUGAUGGAGGGCUUAUACCCGAAACGUUGACUCUUCUGCUCCUUGGAUGCUGCCUGACCUGCUGUGCUUUUCCAGUGCCACACUUUUCGACAUGGAACAAAUAUGGAAAUGGAGGCGAAAUAAAAGCCAAGAAUUGGCUCGGUGAUGUGAUGAGGAUGGUAUUGAUUCUUUCUGGUUGGGCUGAAUGGUCUUUAUGAUCCCUGGUAAUCUCGCAUUGACCCCAUCAAAUAAGUGAACUGUAAAUUCCUUGCAACUUCAGCAAAAAGGACAUUCUUUGGUAAAGUGAGCAAAUUCUCUUUAGCACAUGAUCCUAGGCUAUUACUUUGUACCUUAAACAAAUAGGGUAAGGGUUAUGGUGCUGAAGGCUUGUCCUUGGAUUAGACAAUUCUGUCUUCUGGCUGGACAGCAAAAUGUUGUGAGAAGGACUCAAACUUUAAAAUAAAUCUUGAGACUUUAAAACAAACUCAAAAGUAAAAAAAGCAAGUAGUACAAGUAUUCCUUUUUUUUUCAAGCUUUAUUGGAUUUAUGUUGUAGAGAGAACAAUCCAGUCUCCAGAUGACAAUGUCUCGUUUUAAAUAUGCUACAACCCAUCAAGGUUUUUGCUAAGGAUCCCCACACAGCAUUGUCAAUCUUCCCUGAACAUACCUCCUUCUAUUGGUGUUACUGCAGAAUUAGAGAUAAAUCGAUCAGAAAUAAAUGCAGCAAAGGGAAGGAAGAAAUGAUGAAAUGUGUUGGUCUUAGUAUUUUCAAAAUGAUAAACCAAAAAAAACUUGAUAUCAAAAUUGCAAAGAAAAGUUCAUUCAAAAUUUAAAUCCAAAAUGCAAGUCAAUGCAGGAUGAGAUUAGAAAUGGUAAUAUAACAGAAAAUCUCAGUUAAAAAACAACAAAGUUAACGAGAAUGAUAAACGAUUGAACAAAUAAUGUCAAACAUGCAAACGUUGAAAAGUGGAAAUUGGAACUUUCUCUUUGCAUAGAUUACAGUAGCUUUGCAACAAUAAAUUUGCACAAGAAACGGUGUACUUCAGGAAAGAAGAAGCAACAAUUAACAAAAGAGAUGAGGAAAAGGUUUAACUGCCAUAUUACAGCAGUGAUCAAGAAGGAUUUUGAAUUGAGUGAACUAUACCCAAACAGUGCAAUAGACAAAGAUAUAAAAAUGGAACAAUGUGGGACAAGGUAUAAAAAAUUCGAUACAAAAAAUAACAUUUGAAUUUCAAUCAAUGAGCAUAAAAUGAAAAAUUUCAUGAGUAAUGAUGGAAUAAAACAAGUGGUAUAAAUGAAUUAAUUGAGAACAGGUAGGUGAAUGAAUGUGAGUAACUUAAGUAAGGGUAAUCAUUUAAUAAUAAAAUAAUUCAUCCACAGAUUACACAAAUCACCAGCAAUCUCCUUACAAGUUCUUAACAAACCUAAAUUUCUGAGAGUCCCUGAGUAGUUCAUUUUGGGGAGAGGGUGGGGACAAAGUUCAAAUAUUUAACUAUUUAAAACUUGAACGUUGCAAUAAGUCAUAGAGAAAACAUGAUUUGACUCAUGGAUACUAGCAGUAAUGCAGUGCUGUUUUGGGUCAGUCUCUCAUUCAGAAGGAGGUAUGAGUAAGGGAUUUGGGGGAUUUCUGAAUUCCACCUUGGACAUUCACAGAAUCACACACAUACAUAGUUCUCCUACAAAGUUCAAUACUUAUAGAAUCACAAUGAUCAGAAUGGAUUUGCAUAUGUGCCAUCAUGAUGUUUACAGAGAUGUGCAUUUAAAAAAAAAGCAUAAUAGUUCAUGCCAAUAUGUCCAUGGAUUUAAAAAGUUUUUACUAAUAUUGUUGGAAAGAAGGUGAGUUGAGGAAUGAUCGGCAUUGAUGAUAACAA